GAAAUGCGAUACGUAGUGUGAAUUGCAGAAAUACGUGAACCAUCGAAUCUUUGAACGCAUAUUGCGCUCGAGGCUUCGGCCGAGAGCAUGUCUGCCUCAGCGUCGCUUUAAUCCCUCACACCACUCUCCUAUUCGGAUAGUGUGCAUGUGGAACUGGCUUUGCCAGCGCUCUUUCGGGUGCUGGCUUUGCUGAAGAGCAGAGGUUGAUGCAUGGACCCGUUACGGGCCUCAGCUGGGUAGGCAAUUCGCUUGCUAAUGCUUUAGCUGUUGGCUUGGGACCGUGCUUGUCGGCCCGAACCAGGAAUGCGGCAGCGCUUCGGCGCUCCGCAUCUCUUCAACUUUCGACCUGAGCUCAGGCAAGAACACCCGCUGAACUUAAGC
rnacentral:misc_RNA from 1 species